rnacentral:rRNA from 1 species
UACGUAGGGUGCGUGCGUUGCCCGGAUUUAUUGGGCGUAAAGGGCGCGUAGGCGGCUCGGCACGUCCGUUGUGAAAUCGCUCGGCUCAACUGGGCGAGGUCAGCGGAUACGGUCGAGCUUGAGCCAGCUAGGGGGCAAUGGAAUUCCCGGUGUAGUGGUGGAAUGCGUAGAUAUCGGGAGGAACACCAGUGGCGAAGGCGGUUGCCUGGGGCUGUGCUGACGCUGAUGCGCGAAAGCGUGGGGAGCGAGCCGG